rfam:Triticum aestivum genome assembly, contig: Triticum_aestivum_CS42_TGACv1_scaffold_592822_7BS
CUACUACUCCCUCCGUCCGGAAAUAUUUGUCAUCAAAAUGGCUAAAAGUCGAUAUAUCUAGACGUAUUUUAAUUCUAGAUACGUCUCUUUUUAUCUAUUUUGAUGACAAGUAUUUUCGAACGGAGGGAGUACCUC